CAGUCGCCGCGGUAAUACGAAGGGGGCUAGCGUUGCUCGGAAUCACUGGGCGUAAAGCGCACGUAGGCGGAUGUUUAAGUCAGAGGUGAAAGCCUGGAGCUCAACUCCAGAACUGCCUUUGAUACUGGGUAUCUUGAGUCCGGAAGAGGUAAGUGGAACUGCGAGUGUAGAGGUGAAAUUCGUAGAUAUUCGCAAGAACACCAGUGGCGAAGGCGGCUUACUGGUCCGGUACUGACGCUGAGGUGCGAAAGCGUGGGGAGCAAACAGGAUUAGAUACCCCAGUAGUCCCUGUCUCUUAUAC
rnacentral:rRNA from 1 species